UUUAGCUUGACGGAGCGCGAGUAAUACCUCGCUGAGAUUGUGUAAGUUUUUCAUUUGUUUGCAAUAACUUAAGCACAAGUACCGUUGAACCUGAUCAGGUUAAGACCUGCGUAGGAAUCAAGCCGCUUAAAAAC
rnacentral:ncRNA from 2 species